UGGGGAAUAUUGGACAAUGGGCGCAAGCCUGAUCCAGCCAUGCCGCGUGCAGGAUGACGGUCCUAUGGAUUGUAAACUGCUUUUGUACAGGAAGAAACAGUUCUACGUGUAGAACCUUGACGGUACUGUAAGAAUAAGGAUCGGCUAACUCCGUGCCAGCAGCCGCGGUAAUACGGAGGAUCCAAGCGUUAUCCGGAAUCAUUGGGUUUAAAGGGUCCGUAGGCGGUUAGAUAAGUCAGUGGUGAAAGCCCAUCGCUCAACGGUGGAACGGCCAUUGAUACUGUCUGACUUGAAUUAUUAGGAAGUAACUAGAAUAUGUAGUGUAGCGGUGAAAUGCUUAGAGAUUACAUGGAAUACCAAUUGCGAAGGCAGGUUACUACUAAUGGAUUGACGCUGAUGGACGAAAGCGUGGGUAGCGAACAGGAUUAGAU
rnacentral:rRNA from 1 species